UUGAUGGAGGUUCCUGACUAUUGGAUAUAUGGGAGGAGUGGGCUGUGGGAGAGGCCGAUUAAGCCUCAAUUAAGGGCUGGGGAAUAUAUGGUGAGGAGUGGAGUGUGCAUAGCAAUGGGCAGAGGGAUCAGAUGACCCAAAUGUCAAAUACAAGGAGCAGCGAGGGGUGUGUGUUGUGAAGUGGUCUUGCAAAAUCAAUGAUGUCCCUAAUGGUGUUCUGUGCAGCUGUCAUCCUGUGGAAUAAGUCACAGUCUUGUGCCCAAUUGAAAGCCUGGCCAACUUGUUCAGGUGAUAGAAGGACAUACAUAUAACAAUCUGAAACAAAUUGGUAACAACAAAGAAAAACAUCAGAGCAACAAGGAGUAUACUGUAAUACAAGCCUGAGCCUGGACUGGAAAAGGAGUGGAAAGGAACAAUUUAGAAGCAUUGAAAAAUUAGCAUCUGUCCAUUGAGAAGAAGUCUGCUCUGGUCUGU